UAGAGAGACACCUGGCACAGCUCAGGGCGGUCCACGUUCCGUAGAGGGAAGGAGAGCUCCAGCUGUUCAAUGACCGACUUCUGCGCAUCAAACAUCAGGUUUUUGUAGAACUGGAUAAAGUGGGAGAAGGUCAUCUCAUUCCUGGCUUCCACCUCCACAAGCUUGUCCCGCAGGAACCUCAUGUUGGGCACUCUGUAGUUCACCUGGGGCAGCAUGGCCUUCAGGUCCUUCACUGUAAUGCUGCCUUCCCG
rnacentral:lncRNA from 1 species